rnacentral:sRNA from 1 species
UUCAGAAAUCAGAUCCCAGUACACAUACACACUCAUAUCGAUGUACGUAACCAUAUACUAUGUAUUUGAAAAAAUAAUGAAUUUACACAAACACAUAUUAUUACAAUAAACGUUCACUUUUUUCACCCCAGGACCAAUUAGUGUGCCAAUUUUUACACAAUGGCAGUGCAGCAACAACAAAAUUCAUCAUUCCUCGACGAUCAUGUACCAGAUCCCCAGCCAUUGAAUUUUUGUAUGCCAAAUCCACAAACAUAUAAAAUUCAAGGCAAUAUCAGCAGCGAAACAAGCUCAGGUGCUAAUCGUUCGCUACAUGUAAAAAAAAACGACAGCACCUAAAGCCGAUAUCAAUGUUGCCCUGUUUACAUUAUGUACACAAAAUGGUCAACCUACGAAAGGUACUAAUCGACCUCAUCCUUAUCGCCAUCGACAUCGUUUCAUACCCCUCUGCGACGUUAUUGAUAAAAAAAGCAAGAUGGCGACCAUGACUCAAACUCUGGAACAGGAUUGCGUGACUACAACGAUUUAAUUAUAACGGUACGUUGGCGUGGUAUCGAGCGCAGUACGAUGGCGACAUGGCCGUUUUACCUACUUGGCUGACUUGGAGACGUGUGCACAAUGAGUUGUGUCUGUCGCUCAAACACCGUCAAUAUCUAAAGGAAUCGAAAUCAAGAAUAAAAUCGCUAUCACUUGACUUUAUGAGAUUUUCCCCACGGUUUGCAAUUUUUAAAUGGCUUAAAGGGAUUUUGAAUUUAACCAUUGAGACUAACGAAACCCCUGAUAAAACGAAUUUAUUUUCGUCGAAAAAGGAAACACGUUACAAUAUGGGUGAGGUAAUAUUACCAGAUCAACAGUACGAAAACCCACAUACAAAUGAAUUUAAUAAAAGCAAGCACAGCAAAAGGAAAACGAUAUCUGAAACAUUUAUCGACAACAAUUGCAUUUGACGCCGACGCAAAAAAGUUGCAACUUAGUAUGCAAAGGAUAUUAUUAAAACGGAGAACGAGCUUCUCGAGCUGAAAAAUGAGAUGGAACAAUUUACAUUCCUAAUAAACAACCUUAAGCAAAUGGUAUUGCAAAAAAGUACAAAAACGGUUGAGGAAAUUAAGUCCGUUAUAAUAUUUAUGAAUUCUGCGACAAUAAUGCAAGCAUGUUAGAUUACCUCUGUAUUAUAAGUU